CAAAAUUAGGGCAUUCUAACAGCCUCCGCAAAUGGCACGCUGGAAGCUCAUUUCAAUGCUAGCUUCCUCUUGCUCUAGCUUUGGGUUAUCAACAUUGUUGGGAUGAGAUUAGUGUAUGAACUUAUCUUCAUCAACUCACAAAGAUGUGUUUUUUUGUGGAAAAAACAAGAACUAUGGUGGUUUUUAAAGAGGUGCUGAGUCAUGGUCUUUAAAAAAGAAUGAACUUGUGGAUCAGUAGAGGGGAUAAACGGGAUGGCCUAGAGCUUUUUCUCAAAGUUCUCAUAUUGAUUGACUACCCAAAAUUGUCUCAUCUGACUCCAUGACCCUCAUAUUUUGCUAGUGACUCUUUUUGUAAGCUAACAUAGCUUAGUGCUCACAGUUAUGUAGCCCUUUGAUUGGCAAAACAUUAUGUAAAUAGCAUAGCUAUGAGACCUUGAUGUGGUUUCUUUAUGUCUGUUCAUGCUAGAUGAUGUUUAUUUUUCUUGUUUUAAUUCUUAAUAAUGCAACAUGUGCCUUAUCCAUGUUCAA